rnacentral:rRNA from 1 species
GAUGAACGCUGGCGGCGUGCCUAAUACAUGCAAGUCGAGCGAACAGACGAGGAGCUUGCUCCUCUGACGUUAGCGGCGGACGGGUGAGUAACACGUGGAUAACCUACCUAUAAGACUGGGAUAACUUCGGGAAACCGGAGCUAAUACCGGAUAAUAUAUUGAACCGCAUGGUUCAAUAGUGAAAGACGGUUUUGCUGUCACUUAUAGAUGGAUCCGCGCCGCAUUAGCUAGUUGGUAAGGUAACGGCUUACCAAGGCGACGAUGCGUAGCCGACCUGAGAGGGGGAUCGGCCACACUGGAACGGAGACACGGUCCAGACUCCUAAGGGAGGCAGCAGUAGGGAAUCUUACGCAAAGGGCGAAAGCCUGACGGAGCAACGCCGCGUGAGUGAUGAAGGUCUUCGGAUCGGAAAACUCUGUUAUUAGGGAAGAACAAAUGUGUAAGUAACUAUGCACGUCUUGACGGUACCGAAUCAGAAAGCCACGGCUAACUACGUG